rnacentral:rRNA from 1 species
GACGAACGCUGGCGGCGUGCUUAACACAUGCAAGUCGAACGGUGAAGCGCCUUCCUUUUUGGUGGGUGUGGAUGAGUGGCGAACGGGUGAGUAACACGUGAGUAACCUGCCCCCUUCUUCUGGAUAACCGCAUGAAAGUGUGGCUAAUACGGGAUAUUCUGGGUCUGUCGCAUGAUGGGUCUGGGAAAGAUAUUGUUUCGGUGGGGGAUGGGCUCGCGGCCUAUCAGCUUGUUGGUGGGGUGAUGGCCUACCAAGGCGGUGACGGGUAGCCGGCCUGAGAGGGUGGACGGUCACACUGGGACUGAGACACGGCCCAGACUCCUACGGGAGGCAGCAGUGGGGAAUAUUGCACAGUGGGCGCAAGCCUGAUGCAGCGACGCCGCGGGAGGGAUGGAGGCCUUCGGGUUGUGAACCUCUUUCGCCAGUGAAGCAGGCCUGCCUCGUUUGUGGGUGGGUUGACGGUAGCUGGAUAAGAAGCGCCGGCUAACUACGUG